GAGUUCACUGUCCUUCAAACACCCUAUGACCGUGUUCAUGCUCGUGACAAGGAUUUUAUUGGUGACACCGAGAAGAAUGCGAUUGAUAUUGAGGUUGAUCCUGCAACACAAUAUGAUUCAGAUUGUCUUCCUGACGACACCAAUAAUGAAAGCUCAUCUUCGAAGCGUUCUAGAGGUGGCAAACGUGAUAAAGGUAAGAGGGUGAAGUGUGAGGAGAGUGUAGUUCAAGACAUGACGCGGUCUCUGCGUGAUAUGUCGGAUACUAUGCGUUUCACACACGUGACCAACCCGAAUGAGAAUUUAUUCAAAAUAAUUGAUGACAUGGAAGAAUAUCCUCUAUUCGUCCGACUUUCACUGCAGACAUCUUUGGCCACCAAUGAACAAGUGGCGUCCAUGUUGAAGGGGAGGCCGAUGGCUGCUAUUCAAGAGUUUGUGCGGCGCUGGGUCCGUGAUAACUUUCCUGAACACGUUCAUGUUCCUCCUGGCGUGUGA
rnacentral:rRNA from 1 species